GUCAGUGGGAUUUCCUAGCUCGACCUUGGCUCAUUCCUUUGUCUACUGCUCACUGGGACCUGUUGGUGAGACCUGUUAUUGUCACCCUGUGGCUCUGCUCAACCUGCUCGGAUACUUUAGGGCUGUACUCUGCCGAGGAGACACUGCUUGUGCUGGGGUCGUCUGUGGCUCCCUGCUUGUGGAGUAGCCCUGUUCUUGCUGCUCCCUGAUAGUGAGCUUUUUUAAGCUUUGCAUGACACCUCUGAAGAGAUUAGUAAUUACAGAAAAGGUUCUGAUGGGGGAAAAGCAGAAGCAGGAACGUGUGAUUCAUGGAGUCCUGUUACCUGAGUAGUGAGAACAACAGGUUCAACGAUGUCCAUUACUGAGAACAGGUGUCUACACUGCAGAAUAAACCAACAAAACUGACAGUAAUUGGCACUGGUUUCAGCAGGCUCUGCAAGAGGUCAAGGACAAUCCAGCAUUCCAGGACAUUGCUGAGGCAUUUUGGAGUUGUCUGAGGAAACGUCUGCAGUUUCCCAAGCUCUGGCUGCCCUGAGGAUCAAGAGAGGGUUUUGGUUUCCAUGAAUGUCAGUUUCAUAGUUUUCAGCAGGACUGCCUUUCCUUUUCAAAAAAUAAACAGUUAAGGGGGCAGGGGAGCAAGAUAACCAUCUAGUUAUGAAAGUAUUAAUUCCUUCAUCAAAAUACCCAAUUGGAAGAAUAUGUUCCACAUUUCUUUAAAUAAAAUUGGAAAUUACCUUUUAAUAGUGGUUUUGAUUUCAGUUUUAAUUAAGAAUAAGGGGGAAAAAUAGUUAUUUUUGUGAACGUGUGUGUGUAUACGUGCAUAUAUAUGCAAACACACACGUUUUAUGUAAACCUAUUAAGCAGAGCAUAUUGUGUGUAGUUGAUGAUUUGUGACAGAAAGUGGCAUGAUUAAUAACAAUUAAAUGCCAAUAAAUCCUUAAU